AUUGAACGCUGGCGGCAGGCCUAACACAUGCAAGUCGAGCGAGCGGCGGACGGGUGAGUAAUGUCUGGGAAACUGCCUGAUGGCGGGGGAUAACUACUGGAAACGGUAGCUAAUACCGCAUACCAUCAGAUGUGCCCAGAUGGGAUUAGCUAGUAGGUGGGGUAACGGCUCACCUAGGCGACGAUCCCUCGCUGGUCUGAGCGGAUGACCAGCCGGACUGGAACUGAGACACGGUCCAUACUCCUACGGGAGGCAGCAGUGGGGAAUAUUGCGCAAUUGGCGAAAGCCUGAUCCAGCCAUGCCGCGUGUGUGAAGAAGGUCUUCGGAUUGUAAAGCUCUUUAAGUUUGGAGGCGUUACCAACAGAAUAAGCACCGGCUAACUUCGUGCCAGCAGCCGCGGUAAUAC
rnacentral:rRNA from 1 species